UUAAAAAUCAAGUGUCACCGAUGACGGUUUCUUUGAAAAGUACCAGUAUUCCCUAUGACGUUAAAAAUGAUACUAGUAAAAAUAAUACU
rnacentral:ribozyme from 1 species